rnacentral:rRNA from 1 species
UAUGACUCUCGGCAACGGAUAUCUCGGCUCUCGCAUCGAUGAAGAACGUAGCGAAAUGCGAUACGUGGUGUGAAUUGCAGAAUCCCGUGAACCAUCAAGUCUUUGAACGCAAGUUGCGCCCGAGGGACCCUCCCGAGGGCACGCCUGCCUGGGCGUUAGAA